rnacentral:rRNA from 1 species
GACGAACGCUGGCGGCGGGCUUAACACAUGCAAGUCGAACGGGCAGGCCCUGCUGGUGUGGGAUGCUCGUGGCGCGAAGGGGUGUAUAACGCGUGAGUAACCUGCCUUGUACGUUGGGAUAACGUCAGGAAUCGGGGGAUAAUGUCGAAGAGGAUCGCCGGCUGCAUGUAGGGGUUUGGAAUGUUUCGGCGGUUGGGGAUGGACUCGCGGCGUUUCAGGUUGUUGGUGGGGUAGUGGCUUAGCAAGGCUUUGACGGGUAGCAGGCGUGGGAGGGUGACCGGGCACAUUGGGACUGAGAUACGGCCAAGACCCCUACGGGAGCGAGAAGUGGGGGAGAGUGAAAAAUGGGCGGAAGCCUGAUGCAGCACCGCCGCGUGCGGGAUGACGGCCUUGGGGUUGUAGACCGAUUUCGCCUGUGACGAAGAGUGAGUGGCGGUAAUGGGUAAAGGAGCACCGGCUAACUUCGUG